rnacentral:rRNA from 1 species
GAUGAACGCUGGCGGCGUGCCUAAUACAUGCAAGUCGAGCGAACAGAUAAGGAGCUUGCUCCUUUGACGUUAGCGGCGGACGGGUGAGUAACACGUGGAUAACCUACCUAUAAGACUGGGAUAACUUCGGGAAACCGGAGCUAAUACCGGAUAACAUAUUGAACCGCAUGGUUCAAUAGUGAAAGGCGGCUUUGCUGUCACUUAUAGAUGGAUCCGCGCCGUAUUAGCUAGUUGGUAAGGUAACGGCUUACCAAGGCAACGAUACGUAGCCGACCUGAGAGGGUGAUCGGCCACACUGGGACUGAGACACGGUCCAGACUCCUACGGGAGGCAGCAGUAGGGAAUCUUCCGCAAUGGGCGAAAGCCUGACGGAGCAACGCCGCGUGAGUGAUGAAGGUCUUCGGAUCGUAAAACUCUGUUAUCAGGGAAGAACAAAUGUGUAAGUAACUGUGCACAUCUUGACGGUACCUGAUCAGAAAGCCACGGCUAACUACGUG